GCCCGCCCUCCCCGCGGCUCGACGGCGACCUCCGGCCGCGCCGCCCGGCCGCCCCGGGCCCCCCAGCAGGGCCCGCCCGGCCCCGCUUCGCCCCGCCUUUCCCGCCCGAUUGGCCGCCGCCGCGCCCUCGGCCUUUCCAGUAUGGCGGCGCCCAGCAGCGCGGGGAGCUGCGAGGACUUCGCCGAGUUCCAGGAGUUGCUCAGGGUGAUGAGGACGAUCGAUGACAGAAUCGUCCAUGAAUUAAACACUACAAUUCCUACAGCCUCCUUUGUAGGGAAAGUUGAUGCCAGCCAGACAUGUAAAGAGCUCUACCAGUCUCUGAUGGAAGCUCACACCAGCCGAGAGAGAAUCAUCAAAAACUGCAUUGCUCAGACUUCAAACGUAGUGAAAACUCUCAGAGAAGAGAGGGAAAAGUCACAGGAUGAUGUAGCAUUAUUAAAGCAACUCAGGAAAGAGCAGACAAAGUUGAAAUUGAUGCAGUCGGAGCUGAAUGUUGAAGAAGUGGUAAACGACAGAAGCUGGAAGGUACUCAGUCAUUUUAGAAAGUGAUGUGGCUCCAUGCCAUGGGUUUGAGCUGUCCUGCCCUGGAGUUGUGGGACAGAUGCUUUAUGAGGUUUUUAAUGAGCGUUGCCGAAUUCAUUACAAGCCUCCGAAGAGUCAAUGAUGUGAAGUAUUUUCCAUCAAGGUGGUCCAUAAUCAUGAGAGCCAAACUGGAAAGAGACCUUGGGUGAGCCACGCUUGGGCCUUGCAGAACCAGGAUAACCCAGUCUUGCUUUAUUUUGGACCUACUUAGCUGGAAUCUCAAGGUUUAAAUAAUUCUCCUGUAAUUAAGAGAAAACGACUCCUCUUUUGUACAAAAUAUGUGAACAAAUGAGUUUUAUAGUAUUAAAAUAAUUUUCAAAUUGAAUGUGAAAA